AUUGAACGCUGGCGGCAUGCUUUACACAUGCAAGUCGAACGGCAGCACGGGUGCUUGCACCUGGUGGCGAGUGGCGGACGGGUGAGUAAUGCAUCGGAACGUGUCCUAAAGUGGGGGAUAACGCAUCGAAAGAUGUGCUAAUACCGCAUAUUCUCUGAGGAGGAAAGUAGGGGAUCGAAAGACCUUAUGCUUUUGGAGCGGCCGAUGUCUGAUUAGGUAGUUGGUGGGGUAAAAGCCUACCAAGCCUGCGAUCGGUAACUGGUCUGAGAGGACGACCAGUCACACUGGGACUGAGACACGGCCCAGACUCCUACGGGAGGCAGCAGUGGGGAAUUUUGGACAAUGGGGGAAACCCUGAUCCAGCAAUGCCGCGUGUGUGACGAAGGCCUUC
rnacentral:rRNA from 1 species